rnacentral:lncRNA from 1 species
CCAAUGAGUAGACAGUCCAGAAACAAAUCCUCGUAUACAUGAUCAAAUGACUUUCAACACGGGUGCCAAGACCAUUCAAAACUCAAAAUGGAUCAAAGACCUAAAUAUAAGACCUAAAACUAUAAAACUUCUAGAAGAAAAGAUAGGGGAAAAGCUUCAUGGUAUUGGAUUUGGUGGUGAUUUCUUGGAUAUGACACCAAAGAAAAGGGAGAGAGAGAGUGAAAUUUGAUGACUCAAAUAAAAAGUUCUUACUUGGGAUGGAAAAAAACAUUAAAAACAUUUAGCAUUUAAAAAUACAUAUUUUUAAUAUGUAUUUGAAAAUAUGGGUGUAUUGGCAUGUUCCUAUAUUCCCAGCUACUCAGGAGGC